UCUGUGUUCUGUGUUCUGUGUUCUGCUGUUUGGAUUCUCUGCACUGACUGUGUGUGUGAAUUAUUGUGUAUCUUUAAUAAGUGAUUCUUCUAGCUUGCAUCUUUACUGAUAAUCAUGUUUUUCCUCAUGUUCUGAGGCCCCGAGACGACAUACAUUAAUUUCCUUUCAUUAGACAAAAAGAUUUUCAGAUGGAUGCUGAAGAUCUGCUGGGAAUUCUGGGAAUUCCUGAAGGGCAGAAAUACCCGAUGAAUUUAAUUUCUUCAUUUUGCAUUAAUUCAGUUUCUGCUGCAUUUGAAGUGCAAAUGUGGGUCUGAACGCAAGAGUCUCUUCAGGUCAUACGGACGGAAAUAGACCAGAUCUGCUUCAUUACAGCUUUCACAGGAACUGGAAGGAUUGCAUAGAUCAGAUUAUUUGCACGGCAGCAAGUUUUGUGUGUUUUCACCUGAUCAGGACCGGCGUUGACUUCAGCAGCUGAGAUGAAGUAAUGAAGGGAAGCUGGAGCUCAUUACUAGUUCUUCAUGAGUUUGUCUCGCAGGGUCUUCAUGUCCUGCAGCGCCUCGUCCAGCGCUUUAACAAACCGCUCCGAACAUGUCUCCUGACUCUCUCUGAAGCUGGACACACAGAACAGCACUUGACCGGGCCGUGGGUUAUAACACACACCGUAACCGUCAGGAACCACCGGACCGUAGCAGCAGAACAUCUCUUCAGUGCAGCCGGAUCUCAAACAGCGCCGGUGUCAGCGGCCCCCGCGGCUCUGAUUGGGUUAUUGAGUUAUCACCGGACCUCAUUAGAGACGCUUCCAGGUAAAGGGCCCUCGAUCCGACAGCGCUCCGCGGGAGACCGAAGCGGUGGAGAGACACUGGACCUGCGGUUAAUUUAAGAGCCUCUCGAGCCUCAAUUACACCCUGAUUAGCUGGAUCAGAUUAAGAUCAUUUCACCAAACAAGAGAGACUCGUUCAGCAGCACUCUGGUGUAACACACACCUGAUCUUUACAGGCCACAAUAACGUGACCUGCGACAGACGUGCUGAUGAGUGUGUCCUGCUCGAGUCCGGCC